GUCCUGCCGCUUUGAUAACUUUCGAAGUCCUUCCCUGAGGCUGCUCAGCUGGCUCAGGAGCAGAGAGACGCAGAACCCGGUGGAGCCAUUCUCACCCCCAGGCCUUCUCACUGAAACCUCAGAACAACACCCAGGAGACCCUCCUCUCGUCCCAGCAGGGGGACUGAGGCCUCCCCAGUCUCCAGCCUGGGAGCCACUCACUACCCACGGGGCCCACUUAUGUCUAAAUUGAUUAAAAUUAGGUGAAAAGUUUAGUCACACAAACUGAAGUACUGAGCCCUUUACCGUGGAAAGUUUCAGGGGGCGGCUGCUUGUGGUUCAGAAAGUUGGUCACAGGCAGGAGUCUAGAGCUACUCAGGAGGGCAGCCACCUUGGCCCCACCCCAGGCCCUGUUAUUGCAGAGGGGCCACCUGGGGGCUGCUGGGCUGACUGUGAGCGUUCUCACCCACCCCUCGACCAGCGAGCAGCUUCGUCCCGUAGGCCCGGGUUGUCAGGAGCACCGAGGAGUCCCCCCGCAGUGGCCCUGGCAGGUCAGCCCGAGAGAGCAGGGCCGCCACGUCUGCGGGGGCAGCCUCAUCAGCCUCCGUGGGUGCUGCCCGCCGCCCACUGCGUCUGCAGCUCUGUGAGCCUGACCGUCCAGCUGGGAGCAUCUGUCCUGCACACCAGCCCCCCAGGCUGUCUUCGUGGCUGUGCUCUGCGUCAUCUGACACCCCUCCUUCAACGGGAAUGUGCCUGCUGAAGCUGGCUCCGCUGUGCCCGUCUCCCAAACCGUCAGGCCCAUCCCUCUGGCCUCGGCAGGCUCCUCCUUCCCACCGGGCACCCUCUGCUGGCUCACCGGCUGGGGGGACAUCAGCCUCCUGCAGUGGCCCUGCCAGAGCCCCAUAGGCUUCAGGAGGUGGACGUGCACAUUGUCAGCCUGCAGAGCUGCCGCAGGCUCUCCUGCUUGGAGCCCGUCACCAAGGAGAUGCUGGGUGCUGGCCACUGCCAGGGCCAGAAGGGCUUCUGCAAGCUCAGACCCCCAUUGGCACUCCUGCCCUGGUCCUUCAUUGGGCCUGGGGAGCCACCGGACCCCUCCGGGCCUGUUUCCUGCUCAGCACAGUGAGGGUGACUCUGGAGGUCCCCUGGUCUGCCCGCUCCAGGACCAGCGCUGGGCACAGGUGGCAGUGGUGAGCUUCAGUGGGGUCUGCGCUGAGCCCAGCCACCCGGGCGUGUGCGCCAAUGUCUCUACCUGCCAGCCCUGGAUCCGCGCCUCGGCCUCCUGCCGAGACACCUGCUCGGGGGCUGACCCCUCCCCGGGGCAUGGCCUGCCCUUCUCCCAUCAUCUCCUCCGAGCUGCCCAUUUCUGUGGGGCCCUUCCCUGCUCUGGCUCCCUGUCCCGCCUGUCCCCGCCUGUCCCGCUCUCCACCCU
ensembl:lncRNA